rnacentral:lncRNA from 1 species
AAUCAUGAGGAUACCAUCUCCAAGCAGGUGGAGUAUUUGAUCCCUUUAGCAAGGCAGUGAUUUUGAAAUUCGGGUUUAGACAAAAAGAUAUUUCAAGCUCCUGAAGAACAAGUUUGAAGGAUUCAGAGCAGAGAAUUGCACCCUGGCAUGAUGCCUAUGCCAGCUGGACUGUGUGAUUUUUGUUCUUUAGUAGAAGGAUAACAUGACAUAGCAGGAAUAAUACUGCCUUUUCUUUCUGGCAUGGAUCAAGAGAAAAGAAAAUACAAGAAAACAGACAGAAGAUCCUAUCUGCGACAAUUAAGAGCACUCUAAGAGGAAAACACAUCCCACCACACAAGGCAAGGUACUUCUAUGGAAGGGUGAGCCCUCACAGAUGGAGCAAUGGGGCGCGCACACCUGAACAAGGGAGGGGAAGGAGUUCUUAUCCCUGAUGCAUGUGACCCCUGCUGCUGUGUCCUUCCCCUAUUGGCUAAGGCUUCUGACAGCUUUGGAGAUUGUGACAUUGGAAUAAAGGAAAAACGUACAGGACUCAUGAAGCGCUGAAAUGUUCACAAAUAUCAAGCAAAAGUCAAUGAAAUUUAUUUUGAGCUAUUUACAUCAUUUAAUAAUUGAGCAAGGUAUACUCCUAUGAACAAAAUUUGGAGCAUGUUUGUCUCUCUCUGCCUGGCGUCUUCAGAAUUUGGAAACUAGUUAGUCAUGGAAAUUUAUUUUGAGCUAUUUACAGCAUUUAAUAAUUGAGCAAGGUAUACUCCUAUGAACAAAAUUUGGAGCAUGUUUGUCUCUCUCUGUCUGCCUGGCAUCUACAGAAUUUGGAAACUAGUUGUGCUGUACUGCAUGAGAAUGCCUGCAUUUAGUAUGCGAACUGGAAUUGGCAAAGGACGAUGGCUGCUCUCCCGCUAACUUUAAAUAAGUCAUGUCACAAAUUGCAUUCGUUCCCAGAUUUCCUAAACUUUCCAGAGAAAAUGGUCUUCUCCCUGGCUCAGCAAGAAGAUGAACUUUAAACACUGAGAAACUGGUCAUCUCCCUGGCUCAACCAGAAGAUGAACUUUAAACACUACUCUCAAUGACUUGAUGUUCCCAUCACUACUCCUGUCAUAAAGGGAGGGGACUCAGAUAUUGAGAAUUUUAUGAUAGUGUGAACUGUCUGCUGUCAGCCAGGAGGGCAGAGCUGAAAUUUAUUGCCACAUCACAUGAAGCAUAGAACAGACUCCACUACUCCUUGAGAUUCAAAACUUUGCCUCUCACAAAGUUACCUUUUAUUUUCCUCUUGUUUGUCACUCAUCUCCCCUAGUGUGCUCUUUUUAUUUCUUUUACUAUUAAUAAUAAAAUCUGUGGAUGAC